rnacentral:misc_RNA from 1 species
AGUCAUCAACCCUUCCCGUUUUGUGCGGGAUGCGGUUGGAGCUGGGGGCGUGCGGCCGCGAGGCCGCUCCCUUCAAAUGCAUCGGUUGGACCUGUGGGUCGAACUCGACUGGGCGUUGUACCAUCCUCGCUCUCCCCGAGACGUUCCCCUUCCGUGUCCUUCCACGACCUGCUGUAGAGUGGCGGUCAAAACCAAACUUUGAA